rnacentral:rRNA from 1 species
GACGAACGCUGGCGGCGUGCUUAACACAUGCAAGUCGAACGGAGUGGCGAACGGGGGAGUAAAACGUGGGUGAUCUGCCCUGCACUUCGGGAUAAGCCUGGGAAACUGGGUCUAAUACCGGAUAGUGACAGAUGAGCUGGCGGCCUAUCAGCAUGUUGGUGGGGUACUGGCCUACCAAGGAGGCGACGGGUAGCCGGCCUGAGAGGGUGUACGGGCCCAUUGGGACUGGGGUACGACCCAGACUCCUACGGGAGGCAGCGGUGGGGAAUAUUGCGCAAAAGGCGGAGUCCGGGUGCAGCGACGCCGCGUGGUGGAUGAAGGUCUUCGGGUUGUAAACUCCUUUCGACAGGGACGCGGUACCUGUAUAAGAAGCACCGGCUAACUACGUGCCAGCAGCCGCGGUAAUAC